AACGAUUCUGAAAGUCAUUAAUUGUUUGUAAACAAGCACAUCCUGAAAGUGCCCUUCGCUUGUGCACUAGCGCCAUGAGUAGCGCACUUGAUGACUCAAAGACAACAGACGCAAGUAUGGACCACGAACUUUACACUGUACAGAGUCCCUCUGAGGACAUUAAGGAUGGCCCAGAUCAUGCAGAAUUCAUUUAUAAAAGUGAGUAGCAAUUAAUUUUAUGCAUUUAAAUUCCCAGUGCAUUUAAUCAACUGGCUUAUUUUACAGUUCAGCAUUAAGCUGGCCACGUAAAUUGGAUGCAUGCAUUAUACAAAUCGCGUGUCCUG
ensembl:lncRNA